CCCACUACAUGCCACCCCUCGCCUCUCUGAAAAGCAUAUUUAAGAAUAAUUACAAUAUACUCUUACUUUAGAAUUAUCACAAUCUUCACUUACAUCAAAAAGAAAAAGAAUUCCCCACUCCAAAAUAAACAUAACAUCAUCACUACACCGACAAGGUGGACAAUUUACACACACACUACCCCUCGUCCCUUCACCACACUAAUAUCUAACAGUUACUGCUUUUCUUCU